rnacentral:sRNA from 1 species
GCCGGGUGCAGUGAUGCACACCUGUAAUCCCAGUGGCUCAGGAGGCUGAGGUAGAAGGAUCACAAGUUCAAAGCCAGCCUCAGCAAUUUAGUGAGGCUGAAAGCCAUUUAGCGAGACCCUGUCUCUA